AUACGUAGGGUGCAAGCGUUAAUCGGAAUUACUGGGCGUAAAGCGUGCGCAGGCGGCUUUGUAAGACAGUGGUGAAAUCCCCGGGCUCAACCUGGGAACUGCCAGUGAGCCUGCAAGGCCGGGGUGCGGCAGAGGGGGAUGGCAUUUCGCGUGUAACCGUGAGAUGCGUAGAUAUGCGGAGGAACACCGAUGGCGAAGGCAAUCCCCUGGGCCUGCACUGACGCUCAUGCACGAAAGCGUGGGGAGCAAACAGGAUUAGAUACCCUGGUAGUCCACGCCCUAAACGAUGUCAACUGGUUGUUGGGGAUUUAUUUUCUCAGUAACGAAGCUAACGCGUGAAGUUGACCGCCUGGGGAGUACGGCCGCAAGGUUAAAACUCAAAGGAAUUGACGGGG
rnacentral:rRNA from 1 species